rnacentral:rRNA from 1 species
UACGGAGGGUGCAAGCGUUAUCCGGAUUCACUGGGUUUAAAGGGUGCGUAGGCGGACAUUUAAGUCAGUGGUGAAAUCCUGCAGCUUAACUGCAGAACUGCCAUUGAUACUAUUUGUCUUGAAUGUCGUGGAGGUCAGCGGAAUAUGUCAUGUAGCGGUGAAAUGCUUAGAUAUGACAUAGAACACCUAUUGCGAAGGCAGCUGACUACGCGAAUAUUGACGCUGAGGCACGAAAGCGUGGGGAUCAAACAGG